rnacentral:rRNA from 1 species
GAUGAACGCUAGCGGCAGGCUUAAUACAUGCAAGUCGAGGGGCAGCACGAAUAGCAAUAUUUGGUGGCGACCGGCGCACGGGUGCGUAACACGUAUACAACCUACCUAUAACAGGGGGAUAGCCUUUCGAAAGAGAGAUUAAUACCCCGUAAUAAAUUGAGUGGCAUCACUUGAUUUUGAAAGCUACGGCGGUUAUAGAUGGGUAUGCGUCUGAUUAGCUAGUUGGUGAGGUAACGGCUCACCAAGGCGACGAUCAGUAGGGGAUCUGAGAGGACUAACCCCCANACUGGUACUGAGACACGGACCAGACUCCUACGGGAGCAGCAGUAAGGAAUAUUGGUCAAUGGAGGCAACUCUGAACCCAGCCAUGCCGCGUGCAGGAUGACGGCCCUAUGGGUUGUAAACUGCUUUUGUACCAGAGAAAACCUACUCACGUGUGAGUAGCUG